rnacentral:rRNA from 1 species
CCUUCAUGAAGCCGGAAUUGCUAGUAAUGGCAGGUCAGCAUACUGCCGUGAAUACGUUCCCGGGCCUUGUACACACCGCCCGUCACACCAUGAGAGUUGGGGAUACCCGAAGCCUGUGAGCUAACUUAACGGAGGCAGCAGUCGAAGGUAGAAUCAAUGAUUGGGGUGAAGUCGUAACAAGGUAUC